rnacentral:rRNA from 1 species
GACGGAGGAUGCAAGUGUUAUCCGGAAUCACUGGGCGUAAAGCGUCUGUAGGUGGUUUAAUAAGUCAACUGUUAAAUCUUGAGGCUCAACCUCAAAAUCGGCAGUCGAAACUAUUAGGCUAGAGUAUAGUAGGGGUAAAGGGAAUUUCCAGUGGAGCGGUGAAAUGCGUAGAGAUUGGAAAGAACACCGAUGGCGAAGGCACUUUACUGGGCUAUUACUAACACUCAGAGACGAAAGCUAGGGUAGCAAAUGGG